AUUGAACGCUGGCGGCAGGCCUAACACAUGCAAGUCGAGCGGAGCGGCGGACGGGUGAGUAAUGAAUAGGAAUCUGCCCGGUAGUGGGGGAUAACGUCCGGAAAGGGGCGCUAAUACCGCAUACUAUCAGAUCAGCCUAUGUCGGAUUAGCUAGUUGGUGGGGUAAGGGCUUACCAAGGCGACGAUCCGUAACUGGUUUGAGAGGAUGAGCAGUCACACUGGAACGGAGACCCGGCCCAGACUCCUACGGGAGGCAGCAGUGGGGAAUGUUGGACAAUGGGCGAAAGCCUGAUCCAGCCAUGCCGCGUGUGUGAAGAAGGUCUUCGGGUUGUAAAGCACUUUAAGUUGGGAAGCGUUACCAGCAGAAUAAGCACCGGCUAACUUCGUGCCAGCCGCCGCGGUAAUAC
rnacentral:rRNA from 1 species